GGUGACCCCGCCCACCGCCCCUCUUCCCUUACGGACCCUCAGCAAUAGCGGCUCCCGGGUUCGGUGCCUCCCGGGGAGUUCGUAACGGGGUGAGGCGGAGGGCCGCGGAGGUCCGAGGAGGUGAGCGUCGCCCUGUGCCCGCGGACGGAGGGGCCCGGUGCGUGCCGUGACUUUCCGUCAGCGCCGUAAGACGUGGAUUACGGUCACCGAGAGCGUUCUUUCAACGGUCUGCUUUCUACGGCGAGAUGCCGGCCGGCUGAGUCAGUGCUGAUUCACGGGAGAAGGCCGCACCGCACCGGGAGCGAAGGCGAACGGCAGGAAGGCAGCGCGUCCGGCCCCGCGAGCUGCCGGGGCGGAGCGGGCGGGACGGGGCCGGUGGGUAACCGCGCCGGAAAGCCCCCAAAGAGCCCGGGGGGGUUACCGAGAAGCUGCGGGACCGCCUACAGAACGGCUUCGCGCUUCAGGGCGGCCUCAGCACCACUGAAGCGGCCCCGGCUGAGCGACUGCGGGGCCGGGGCGUGGGUUAGGAACGCCGCGGCGGAACGGAAGACAGACGGUUUCCUCCUUCUCCCCCGUGCGCCUCAGCUUCUCGUUUAGAACACAAAAUCCCCGCGUCACAGCACGGAUCGGGAUGCUGGAAGCAGCCGCCCCGGGGCGCGGGCAGACCUCCCGUUGGCGGCUCCCUGCUGCAGCAGCUGAUGCCAUUGCCGACGUGCCCUCUGCGGCACCCACCGGCGCUGUCUCCGCACGCAGGAAGCAUCAGUGGAAACACCAGAACUAAUUUUACCUCCACCAGCGGCUGGCCCUUCUAUUUCCAAGUGUUUGACCUUCACACGACAUGCUCCCAGCAUGAGUAACGGGACGUUAAUUACAAAACAAAGCUCCCAAACCCAGCAAAGUUGCUUGAAAGCCUCGAGAUUGCUUGCAGUGUGAGCAGCAGGAAAGUCAGACACUGGGAUAGAGGGAACCCCGUCCCCUCUGGCUUGGUGAUAGCGGCCACCUCGCUGACCUGUGUCAGCUUAAGCUCCAGUCCUGUAAUGACUUCUAUUUGGAUAAGCAUCUGGAUGCAAAUUAACUCUCUGUGCUUCUUUCCUACAGGAAAUGGCUAAUGCAGCUUGCUCGUUACAUCAUUUCGUAUUUUAACACCCCUAGUAAUUAGUAACUCAUUGUAAUUUAUUGUUGGGUUUACAGAAAGGGCGUAACUCACUUGAAAAACGUUCAGAAUGUUUUACAACAAACACCAUCUAUCUUCUGGGGAGCCACAAGUGUGUACAGUGUGAUAAAGGCAAGGACAAAGUAGCAGAGGAACACGUGAUAGAAACGAAGUUUCAUCAACAGUAGCACCUAACAAAUGAGGCUCAUUAAAAGAAUAUUUCUCCAGCUGCCCGCAUCCCCUGGAUACAUGAGCCUUAAAGCAGAGGAAGUAAUGGUGAGAUAAGAAGAGAGAGGGCACAGACAAAACACCGAGUGACUAAUUGUGCUGUAAGGAACGUCCUGAACUAAGAUUCCCUGGGGUGAGCAGAGGCUUGAGAGUUUGCAUGACCUUGGCUAUCAGCACGGAAAUACACAGCUACCCAUCACAGAAGGGUCACACCUUCCUCUGUAAUUUACUUUUCCCUCAGCUCUCAUACUGUGACCACGCAGUGGCUUAACAGAACGUAGUGAUCAGUGCAUCCACUAUGUCCUUUGCAGCAACAGAAGCGCUUCUUCAACAAGCCUGGAUGGAAAUAUCUACUCUUCACUGGUUAUGGAUGCAGGCAAUGAAAUACUCAAUCAGGAGAGGGCAGAAGUCUUUUUUCUUUCUUUGACAGUAUAACGCAAAACAUUUGUUUUUAUUAUCUUGUGUGAUUUAAAGCUUUGUAGAGUUGUUGUUUUUUUUCCCCCUCUUAUUUUUCUUUAAUACUUGUAGAUCUGCAGCAAAGAGAACUGCGGUUGGAUUGAUGCAUGAUUUUAUUCACUCCAAUUGCAUUAGUGUGGCACAAAAGAGCUAAGUCUAGAAUUCUGACUCAUAAACACUUAAUUUUUC
ensembl:lncRNA